UAUUAAAAAUUUCAUCCAUUUUUACUGUUAAAAAUUUGAUUUUUGUACCUAGCAUGACGUAUACAUGGCGUCACUAUCAGUUUUUAACGGUACAAAUAAAUGAAAUUUUUAACA
rfam:Gossypium raimondii Chr10_contig_22, whole genome shotgun sequence.